CUGAAUUAUUAAUGACAUUAUAUAAUUGAGGGCAAUACCCCACGUUUUCAACCAGAACACAAAAGGGCCCGAGGGACGAGGCCCACAAAGGAAGAAAAACGUAGAGAGUACAUCAUUGGUGGGGCGCCACAUCUCAGAGAGAGCCUUUAUCCAUCACAACAUCUCAAAUCUAUGGACCACAUUUUGUAAUAUCAUUCAAGUCAACAUCCAAUAUCCUAGAAAAGUCGAUAUUUUAUCUCCUGUUUUUAUCCAUGCGAGGAGAGAGAAACCCAAUUUCUACGAUUAUCACAAAUAAUUAUAUACUCAAAGAUCAUCAGAAUUGUAAUUUCAGUCAUUCAAACAAGAUUCAAGAUAUAAUCGCAUGAAGAAAAGCCUAUCUUAUU
rnacentral:misc_RNA from 1 species